CACGUAGGGGGCGAGCGUUGUCCGGAAUUAUUGGGCGUAAAGAGCUCGUAGGCGGUCUGUCGCGUCGGCUGUGAAAACCCGGAGCUCAACUCCGGGCCUGCAGUCGAUACGGGCAAACUGGAGUGUUGCAGGGGAGACUGGAAUUCCUGGUGUAGCGGUGAAAUGCGCAGAUAUCAGGAGGAACACCGGUGGCGAAGGCGGGUCUCUGGGCAACAACUGACGCUGAGGAGCGAAAGCGUGGGGAGCGAACAGG
rnacentral:rRNA from 1 species